rnacentral:rRNA from 1 species
UACGUAGGGUGCAAGCGUUGUCCGGAAUUAUUGGGCGUAAAGAGCUCGUAGGCGGUUUGUCGCGUCUGCUGUGAAAAUCAGGGCUUAACCCUGGACCUGCAGUGGGUACGGGCAGACUAGAGUGCGGUAGGGGAGAUCGGAAUUCCUGGUGUAGCGGUGAAAUGCGCAGAUAUCAGGAGGAACACCGGUGCGAAGGCGGACUC